rnacentral:tRNA from 1 species
GGAACAGUAGCUCAGAUGGUAGAGCAACAGGAUUACUUUUCGCUUACGGCAAAUAAAGUUCCUAUGAAUUAAGGUUGUUGGUCGCAGGUUCGAGCCCUGCCUGUUCCUCAA